rnacentral:rRNA from 1 species
UACGUAGGGGGCAAGCGUUGUCCGGAAUCAUUGGGCGUAAAGCGCGUGUAGGCGGUUCGGUAAGUCUGCUGUGAAAGUCCAGGGCUCAACCCUGGGAUGCCGGUGGAUACUGUCGAACUAGAGUACGGAAGAGGCGAGUGGAAUUCCCGGUGUAGCGGUGAAAUGCGCAGAUAUCGGGAGGAACACCAAUUGCGAAGGCAGCUCGCUGGGACGUCACUGACGCUGAGACGCGAAAGCGUGGGGAGCAAACAGG